CUGCACAAGUUAGUGGUUACUUGGGCAUGGUUGCUCUCUCAUUUCAGAGUCUCCUUUUGAAGUGGUUCAAAGGUAGAGAGCACUUUAGGAGAAUGGUGUGUUUUAAAACCUGGCUGGCAUUUACAAUGUUCUGCUCUGUUCUUCUCUGCAUUAGCUAUAAGAUAGUGGGCUUUAGUUUGCAGUAGAGAUCUUGUGGCUCAGGAGCCUGAAGAGUUUACUACUCAGCUCUGUGAAUCUUCUUUAAGAUGAUCUUUGAGAAUACCUUUCCAUGUCGUCCUUAAAGCAAGCUAUUGUCAUCCAUUGCUAGCAUUCAGAUUCUCAAGACAAGUAUGUCAUGAGAAAUGAACCUGCAAAGACUACCUGCUUUCUUACCACACUCAUUUCUCCUCACCACUUGUGCCUGCUGAAGGCACAAGAAGUUAAGGACAGUUUCUGACCUCAAAUCAGAUUUUACCAUUUUAGGGAUGUAACCUUGAAUGGAUGGUGGUGUUUUAAUUUCUUCCGCUGAACAACUUCAGAAGAUGCAGAGUGAGUUUUGAUGGGAAAGAGACUCUUCAUGGGCUACUCUAGAACAAACAAUGGAAACGGAUCACAGGAAAGAAUGAAGGACAUGGUUCAUGUCUGAUUCAGGUGAUUUCUACAAACAGUUCCAGGAGCUUUCUCCAUUCUCCCAGUUGAGAUUGGCAUUAUGCUUAGAGAAGAAAAAGCGUCUCAAAAGAAAACUAGUCACUCUUGAGGUAGAAUUGCCUCACCUGAAGAGGGAGGAGGUAUUUUUCCUUUUCUCUGAGUCAAGAACUCAUGAUCACCAUCACCCAACCCUGCUCACACACACCCUGACCACCACGGGUCUCUAGGCACUUUAAAUUCUAUGAUUUAUAUGAACUCUUACAGGGACGCAGCUGUUCUCCUGGGCAUAUUCACAACACGUUUUUCCACCCACUCACCUCCCAAGGUGGGUUCUUAAGCAAGUAGCAAAAUGAGGUGUGGGCACUGACACAAAGACCAAUGAGGCAUUUUAAGAGAAGUUAAAUUCAGGAAGCUUUAGGGAAACAAACAAAAAUAAAUUUUAAGAAAUCUGUUUGCAUGGAAAGAUAAAACAAUAAUAGAAUGAGAGAGAGAGAGAGAGAGAGA
rnacentral:lncRNA from 1 species